AUUAGGAAGAGAAACCUCCAUCAGAACCAGGAUCAGGAAUGAAAACCUCCAUCAAAUCCAAAAGCAGGUGGGAAAACCUCCAUCAGGACCAGAACCAGGUGGGAAAAUCUCCAUUAGGACCAGAACCUGGAAUGAAAACCUCCAUCAGGACCAGAACCAGGAAGGAAAACCUCCAUCAUUACCAGAACCAGGAAGGAAAACCUCCAUCAGGA